AUCCUAGUGCACGGGCAUACGCGUAUCAGUGAGGAUUCGUCCGAGAUCGCGUUUUUGCUAGUUGAAAACUACCUAGUUUGACCACUCCAGUUGGUCUUCGGAUCGGCUGGGAAUUUUUGAAAAUAAAUUCAAUGA
rnacentral:snRNA from 1 species